AGUGAACGCUGGCGGUAGGCCUAACACAUGCAAGUCGAACGGCAGCACAGUAAGAGCUUGCUCUUACGGGUGGCGAGUGGCGGACGGGUGAGGAAUACAUCCGAAUCUACCUUUUCGUGGGGGAUAACGUAGGGAAACUUACGCUAAUACCGCAUACGACCUACGGGUGAAAGCAGGGGACCUUCGGACCUUGCGCGAUUGAAUGAGCCGAUGUCGGAUUAGCUAGUUGGCGGGGUAAAGGCCCACCAAGGCGACGAUCCGUAGCUGGUCUGAGAGGAUGAUCAGCCACACUGGAACUGAGACACGGUCCAGACUCCUACGGGAGGCAGCAGUGGGGAAUAUUGGACAAUGGGCGCAAGCCUGAUCCAGCCAUACCGCGUGGGUGAAGAAGGCCUUCGGGUUGUAAAGCCCUUUUGUUGGGAAAGAAAAGCAGCAGGUUAAUACCCCGCUGUUCUGACGGUACCCAAAGAAUAAGCACCGGCUAACUUCGUG
rnacentral:rRNA from 1 species